rnacentral:rRNA from 1 species
UAAUACGUAGGGGGCUAGCGUUGUCCGGAAUCAUUGGGCGUAAAGCGCGCGUAGGCUGUCAGGUAAGUCCGGUGUGAAAGUCAUAGGCUCAACCUAUGAAUGCCGCUGGAUACUGCCUGACUUGAGUCCGGAAGGGGCGAGUGGAAUUCCUGGUGUAGCGGUGAAAUGCGCAGAUAUCAGGAGGAACACCAAUGGCGAAGGCAGCUCGCUGGAACGGUACUGACGCUGAGGCGCGAAAGCGUGGGGAGCGAACAGGAUUAGAUACCCUGGUAGUCCACGCCGUAAACGAUGGGCACUAGGUGUGGGAGGUGUCGACUCCUCCUGUGCCGAAGCUAACGCAUUAAGUGCCCCGCCUGGGGAGUACGGCCGCAAGGCUA